CAUAUUUCAAACUGACAGUACAAUCACUUCAUCAUCAUGCUGAUAGAAGCUGCUGAUCCAGAUCAUACGCACUUCACGGGACAGGACAGAGAAUCUGUCAGGAACUGUUGCACAGUCGACAACAGCCAGUUCUCAAUCCGCAGACCACGCCAUCAAUGGUGCAUAUGCAUAUCGAGUAAACACAGUGGUCGUCACUUACAGAGAUGACAGCGUUCCAGGAAGAACAAAAGAUAUCCAGGUUAAAUUUGGAAACUCUCUGCAGAACGAUGGAAACUACAAUACCAGAUUCUUCCAGGCGAUUUUUCAUGAAGAUAGUGUUUAACUCCACCACUAAUCUGACCGACCCGACAGUAACAGACAACGUGCUUAAAGAGUUAAAGUCAGUGCUGGCUCUGAGAGGAAUCCCUAAUGUGACGCUGAGCUGGUCUCAAAACCUUGAAGAAGCAGUGAUCCAUAAUCUGCACAAAAACGGUGAGUCUGUUUUUACAACCAGCGAUCUAAUGUGAAAGAGAAACAUUGUAAAAUCCAGAAACAAUGUAAAACUCUGUGAUUUUCAUUUCUAGAUGCCUGCUGAAGCAGAUGUCAGACUCUGGGACUUCUCUGAGGAGUAACAGCCAUCAUGAGUUUAAUUUCAUUAUAUUAUAUUCAUUAUAUCCAUCUCACAGUCACUGCAAACAUGCUGUUUUUAUUAACUCUCUGAAACAUGAAUAAACAUGAAGAAAAGAAAAGGG
ensembl:lncRNA